UACGGGGGGGGCAAGCGUUGUUCGGAAUUACUGGGCGUAAAGGGCUCGUCGGCGGCCAACUAAGUCAGACGUGAAAUCCCUCGGCUUAACCGGGGAACUGCGUCUGAUACUGGAUGGCUAGAGGUUGGGAGAGGGAUGCGGAAUUCCAGGUGUAGCGGUGAAAUGCGUAGAUAUCUGGAGGAACACCGGUGGCGAAGGCGGCAUCCUGGACCAAUUCUGACGCUGAGGAGCGAAAGCCAGGGGAGCAAACGGG
rnacentral:rRNA from 1 species